rnacentral:rRNA from 1 species
GUAAUGUAUGGGGAUCUGCCUGAUGGCGGGGGGUAACUACUGGAAACGGUAGCUAAUACCGCAUAAUGUCUGCGGACCAAAGCGGGGGACCUCCGGGCCUCGCGCCAUCAGAUGAACCCAUAUGGGAUUAGCUUGUAGGUAAGGUAACGGCUUACCUAGGCGACGAUCCCUAGCUGGUCUGAGAGGAUGAUCAGCCACACUGGGACUGAGACACGGCCCAG